GAAUUUUGGACAAUGGGCGAAAGCCUGAUCCAGCAAUGCCGCGUGCAGGAUGAAGGCCUUCGGGUUGUAAACUGCUUUUGUACGGAACGAAAAGCUUUGGGUUAAUACCCUGGAGUCAUGACGGUACCGUCAGAAUAAGCACCGGCUAACUACGUGCCAGCAGCCGCGGUACUACGUAGGGUGCAAGCGUUAAUCGGAAUUACUGGGCGUAAAGCCGUCGCAGGCGGUUUUGUAAGACAGAUGUGAAAUCCCCGGGCUCAACCCGGGAACUGCCUUUGGGAAUGGAAGGCUAGAGUACGGGAGAGGGGGGUGGAAUUCCGCGUGUAGCAGUGAAAUGCGUAGAUAUGCGGAGGAACACCGAUGGCGAAGGCAACCCCCUGGGCCUGUACUGACGCUCAUGCACGAAAGCGUGGGGAGCAAACA
rnacentral:rRNA from 1 species